GUUAUAAUUCUAGCCACCCCACAACAAUUCUAUUAACCAUAAAAAUAAAUCAUUUAAUUAAGGAAGUAUAGGUGAUAGAA
rnacentral:rRNA from 1 species